rnacentral:rRNA from 1 species
GACGAACGCUGGCGGCGUGCCUAAUACAUGCAAGUUGAGCGAUGAAGCUUGGUGCUUGCACCAAUUUGAAGAGCAGCGAACGGGUGAGUAACGCGUGGGGAAUCUGCCUUUGAGCGGGGGACAACAUUUGGAAACGAAUGCUAAUACCGCAUAACAACUUUAAACAUAAGUUUUAAGUUUGAAAGAUGCAAUUGCAUCACUCAAAGAUGAUCCCGCGUUGUAUUAGCUAGUUGGUGAGGUAAAGGCUCACCAAGGCGAUGAUACAUAGCCGACCUGAGAGGGUGGUCGGCCACAUUGGGACGGAGACACGGCCCAAACUCCUACGGGAGGCAGCAGGAGGGAAGCUUCGGCAAUGGACGAAAGUCUGACCGAGCAACGCCGCGUGAGUGAAGAAGGGUGUCGGAUCGUAAAACUCUGUUGGUAGAGAAGAACGUUGGUGAGAGUGGAAAGCUCAUCAAGUGACGGUAACUACCCAGAAAGGGACGGCUAACUACGUG